rnacentral:rRNA from 1 species
UGGGGAAUAUUCCACAAUGCGCGCAAGCCUGAUGCAGCCAUGCCGCGCGUAUGAACAAGGCCAUCGGGUUGUAAAGUACUUUACGCGGGGAGGAAGGGAGUAAAGUUAAUACCUUUGCUCAUUGACGUUACCCGCAGAAGAAGCACCGGCUAACUCCGUGCCAGCAGCCGCGGUAAUACGGAGGGUGCAAGCGUUAUUCGGAAUUACUGGGCGUAAAGCGCACGCAGGCGGUUUGUUAAGUCAGAUGUGAGAUCCACGGGCUCAACCUGGGAACUGCAUCUGAUACUGGCAAGCUUGAGUCUCGUAGAGGGAGGUAGAAGUCCAGGUGUAGCGGUGAAAUGCGUAGAGAUCUGGAGGAAUACCGGUGGCGAAGGCGGCCCCCUGGACGAAGACUGACGCUCAGGUGUGAAAGCGUGGGGAGCAAACA